rnacentral:lncRNA from 1 species
UGCACAUGUACUCUAGAACUUAAAGUGUAAAAACAAUAAUAAUAAAAAACUUCCAGCCCAAACAAAAAUAGUAUUAGCUACAUUCAGAAGACCCCACAGAAAGGGUAUAGUUUCCCACAGACACCCUACUAGAAAGCAGCUUCGUGGACAACAUUCACCUCACCGUUUCCCAAAGAUCAUCAUCAUCACAUCCUCUGCCUUAGAACCUAUAACAGUGUCAUUCAUGGGGAUGCCUCUCGCUCCUUAAAAAGUACUGAGAAAAUUAUGAGACAGAGAAGAAAGGGGGAGGGGAUACAAUUAAACUUUGUUUACAGAAGCCUGGGCUCUCCUGACUUUGAUUUUGCUACUAAAGUAGCCGUGGGGAAAUAUUUCUUGAAACAAUAAAAAUGAUUGACUUAGGUUUCAAAGUUUUUAACUCACAAUAAAGAAUUUUUUCUCCUUUCUCUUGCACUGUUUUUCAUAAUGAUGGUAUAAAACAUAUUAAGGUGUUAUCACAAACAAUUACUUCAUGAGAUUAUAUUUGAGUUUGGGGAUUUCAAAGUCAUUUUAUUAAAAUUAGCUGUAUUGUUACACAUUUUGUCUGGAAAGUCUAAGUAAUGUCAUUAAAAGCCCAGUUUAAUUGCUUUGAAAAAGCUUAUGCUUGACAUGAUAUUCAGUCUCUUAGAUUUCACAAUUCAUUCUCCAUGUAUUACUACUAUGACUGACUUGUUUGUCUCUUUUUGAGUUCCUUCUAGAAUUUAAAAGCAUUAAGAUUUAAGUGUGGCUGACUGCCACGGUUACUACUUGAGACCGUCAUUACUAGACUGAAUGAAGAGACGAACAUAGAAAUGGUAACAAAAAACAAAAGAAACUGUUUUAAGGAAAGGCUAGCAUGGGGAAGAAGAGAGCUCCCUGCUUCUAGUGGUCCUCAUUCCAUCUUUGCAUUCAGAUUCAACUGGUUCAUGGUUCAUACUGGGGGAACAAGGUCCAUGGUUGGGAUCCAUGGGUCCCUCCAGUCUCCUGUUCAACGGUCGUACACACCUUGGGAGCACCCACUCGGUUUGUUCAUCUUCUGCAAAGAUGUCAUUCUACAGUCAUUACCUUCCAGCCUAUUUGUUUCUGCAGAAUCUACAUAUACUGUUGUAUCUACCUCAAAAUGCAAACACCAAUGAAGUAAUUCAUCAGAAGACUUGAUAUGAAUAAAGAAUGGAACAGUAAAGUUGAAGAUAAAAAACAUAGAAAUUGAAUAACAAAUACAAGUAAGAAACAAGAAGAGUGAUAAAUAGCAGAACAUGGCAUCCAAGAGCUGAAGGACAGCUCUGGAUGCCUAACUUGAACGGAUUCAUGAAAGAGAACAAGGAUGAUAAAUACUUAAAAACAAAAUGAAUGAGAAUUUUCCAAAAGAAGUGAAGGCAAUCAAAUCGUAAAUCCAAGAAACAUUUCUAGAGAUAUAGGGGCUACGUAAACAAACUAAAAAAAAGGUAAAAAAUUAUAUGAAGACAAACAUAGUUGUGUUGUAUGUAUUAUAUAGUUAAAUAUACGUUAUACACAGGCACGAAGAAAAGAAGUACAGGAAACCUGUCCUCAAGAACUAUUUAACUGUAUACUGGAAAUUUUAACCAGUGUACUAAAGUAAGAAAAAUAAACAAAAGGCAUACAAAUUGGAUACGAAGAAAUAAAACUCUAUUUGAUUCGUGGAUGGUCUAUGCACAGUAUUCCAUUAUGUACAAAAUAAUUAAAAUUAUUAGCAGUGAAGCUGCUAGAAAUAAAUUG